UCCUGGCUGUAAACGAUGGUCACUAGGUGUUGGAGGUAUUGACCCCCCCAGUGCCGCAGUUAACGCAAUAAGUGACCCGCCUGGGGAGUACGGCCGCAAGGUUGAAACUCAAAGGAAUUGACGGGGGCCCGCACAAGCGGAGGAGCAUGUGGUUUAAUUCGAUGAUACGCGAGGAACCUUACCUGGGCUUAAAUGUAGAUUGCAUGAUGGGGAAACCUAUCUUUUCUUCGGAA
rnacentral:rRNA from 1 species